AAAAUACUGGGUUAUGCGUUAAAAUAGUUUAUUGAACCUACAUUAUAUUUAAAGGGCAUCCAUAUAUCGGUACGGCUAAUGGGCCUGGACCAGAAAUGGUUUAUACAGGAUUUUAAAAGUGCUGAUGAGGUGACCCACCUAAGCGAGAGCCUAGGUGUCAAUAAAGUUUUAACGGUAAUCUGGUUUUUUU
rnacentral:other from 1 species